AUUGAACGCUGGCGGCAGGCCUAACACAUGCAAGUCGAAUGGUAACAGGAAACAGCUUGCUGUUUCGCUGACGAGUGGCGGACGGGUGAGUAAUGUCUGGGAAACUGCCUGAUGGAGGGGGAUAACUACUGGAAACGGUAGCUAAUACCGCAUAACGUCGCAAGACCAAAGAGGGGGACCUUCGGGCCUCUUGCCAUCAGAUGUGCCCAGAUGGGAUUAGCUAGUAGGUGGGGUAACGGCUCACCUAGGCGACGAUCCCUAGCUGGUCUGAGAGGAUGACCAGCCACACUGGAACUGAGACACGGUCCAGACUCCUACGGGAGGCAGCAGUGGGAAUAUUGCACAAUGGGCGCAAGCCUGAUGCAGCCAUGCCGCGUGUAUGAAGAAGGCC
rnacentral:rRNA from 1 species